CUGUUAAUCUUCCCCACGGCAUGGCUGUCAAUUUCAUCCGUGUCAACAGAAAAUUUCUGGGCAAAAACAGGGAAUGGAGAGACAGCAGUGAGCACAAAGACAAGGAGAUGGGGUGUGGAGCAGGGAAGUUACCAAGAACUGCACUCCAGAGACACAGCAAAGAUGGACUUUGGGCUCUGCCUGAUCCCAGUUUUGCCAGCCCUGUGUCUGCUGUAGAACAGCCUUGACAGGCAGUCAGAUCGUGCCCUGAGCCAGCCAGGCUCUGCAGAGCUCCAGUUGCAGCUGGUCUGGAGAAUGGCCCUUCCAGCUAAGAAGUCUGAAGCACAAGUCUCUUGGCAGGGGCCGCAUCCAGCCUCCAAGCCAAGCCCAGUAGGCUUCUGGCUGGGGCCCAGCCAGGGGGAAUUCAUGGCUCUGGACAGAGCACCCUGAUCCCAGCUUUACCGUGCAGCCAGCACAGCAUCAGCUCUCAGUGUGGGGAGCAAAGUAGCUCCAAGACACAGGGGAGGCUGAGCCUGAGAGCCAGGUGUGGGGCAGGCGGCCAGAGCACAGAGCUGUCCCUGUAAAGGGCUGGAAGGGAGCAGUACCAUUACCUGUCUCGUCAGUUCGUCGAUCCCAUUCUCCCAAGGACAUCAUACACUGCUUGUGCAAUGAGAUGCUUCCUGAUUGACAGCUCAUAACUUAUCAGGUGUAAUUCUCGCCCAGCCAUUGAGUUCCUGAAGGCAAAGCAAAGCAAGUCUUGUUCAGCAAACGUCCAUCCCGCAAGGUCAGAGUAUCCAGUGCCACGAGUGAAGGAUUCCGGGGGGUUGUGCCCUUCCUUAUCCCGCAGCACCCCUUUUGGUUCCUUUUAGCCGUCUGCCCAGGGCUUGCCUGUCACCAUAUAGAUGGGAAAGGCCUGGAGCCCUGGGCACAAGGUGAAGGCGUGCAUGGAGCACUACAAGCCACACGGGAGGCAUGCUACGACGAGCCAGGUGCAUGGCAGGAAGUGUUCUUAACCCUCUGAGACGGGAGCUCAUGCACGGUCC
rnacentral:lncRNA from 1 species